rnacentral:rRNA from 1 species
AUUGAACGCUGGCGGCAUGCUUUACACAUGCAAGUCGAACGGUAACAGGCCGCAAGGUGCUGACGAGUGGCGAACGGGUGAGUAAUGCAUCGGAACGUGCCCAGUCGUGGGGGAUAACUACUCGAAAGAGUAGCUAAUACCGCAUACGAUCUAUGGAUGAAAGCGGGGGACCGUAAGGCCUCGCGCGCUUGGAGCGGCCGAUGUCGGAUUAGGUAGUUGGUGGGGGAAAGGCUCACCAAGCCAACGAUAUGUAGCUGGUCUGAGAGGACGACCAGCCACACUGGAACUGAGACACGGCCCAGACUCCUACGGGAGGCAGCAGUGGGGAAUUUUGGACAAUGGGCGCAAGCCUGAUCCGGCAAUGCCGCGUGCAGGAAGAAGGCCUUCGGGUUGUAAACUGCUUUUGUACGGAACGAAACGGCUCUGGUUAAUACCCGGGGCUAAUGACGGUACCGUAAGAAUAAGCACCGGCUAACUACGUG